rfam:Gossypium raimondii chromosome 2, whole genome shotgun sequence.
AUCCCAUGAUGAGGACACUUAUGAAGUAAUUCCUUAAAUCUUUUUCAUGCCUCAUACAAGGAUUCGUCAUCUAAUUGUGAAAAAGUGGUUAUCUCAUUUCACAACUU